CUCUCUCUAUUGUACUUGAUACAUCUCAUUUUUAUUUUUAUCUCAUCGGAUCUCUCUCCCCAUUAUUCUCAGAUCUCCCAAGUUUUGAUCAUUUUUCCACUGUAUCUCUACCUUUCUCUUAGUUUCUCCUUUUUUCUUUCAUUUUCUAUCGUUGAAAAAGUAUUUUUUACGACGACAAAAAAUUUCAUCAUUGUGGCUCCCACCAUCCAGCCACCACCAAACCGGUCGUCUACUCCCUCUUCUCCGUUUUCUUCACUCCACUCUUAUCUCAUUCCCUCCACCUCUAUGUCUCUCCAUCUACGUUUAUCUCUAAUAAAAAAGUUCAUCGGUGAACCACUAUAAAAAUGAAAACCUCCUAAUCCUUCAUCUUUUCUGAUGAAAGAUAGAGAAUUUCAACAAUACAGAUGGAGAUCUGGCUAGAUCUGAUUGUUAAUAUUUCCUUCCUCUGUUUGGAAAAUGCCACAAAAUCUAUGUAUCAGUGAACCACCAUUAAAAUGAAAACCUCUCAAAGUUUUAUCUUUUUGGAGAUUUUUGAUGAUGCG
rnacentral:lncRNA from 1 species